UGGGGAAUAUUGGACAAUGGGGGAAACCCUGAUCCAGCCAUGCCGCGUGAGUGAUGAAGGCCUUAGGGUUGUAAAGCUCUUUUACCAGGGACGAUGAUGACGGUACCUGGAGAAUAAGCACCGGCUAACUUCGUGCCAGCAGCCGCGGUAAUACGAAGGGUGCUAGCGUUGUUCGGAAUCACUGGGCGUAAAGCGCGCGUAGGCGGCGCAUUAAGUCAGAGGUGAAAGCCUGGAGCUUAACUCCAGAACUGCCUUUGAAACUGAUGCGCUGGAGUGUAUGAGGGGAUAGCGGAAUUCCGAAUGUAGAGGUGAAAUUCGUAGAUAUUCGGAGGAACACCGGUGGCGAAGGCGGCUAUCUGGCAUACAACUGACGCUCUGGCGCGAAAGCGUGGGGAUCAAA
rnacentral:rRNA from 1 species